rnacentral:rRNA from 1 species
CGCAGCCUGAUCCAGCAAUGCCGCGUGAGUGAAGAAGGCCUUCGGGUUGUAAAGCUCUUUUGUCAGGGAAGAAACGGUGAGCUCUAAUACAGUUUGCUAAUGACGGUACCUGAAGAAUAAGCACCGGCUAACUACGUGCCAGCAGCCGCGGUAAUACGUAGGGUGCAAGCGUUAAUCGGAAUUACUGGGCGUAAAGCGUGCGCAGGCGGUUUUGUAAGUCUGUCGUGAAAUCCCCGGGCUCAACCUGGGAAUGGCGAUGGAGACUGCAAGGCUAGAGUUUGGCAGAGGGGGGUAGAAUUCCACGUGUAGCAGUGAAAUGCGUAGAUAUGUGGAGGAACACCGAUGGCGAAGGCAGCCCCCUGGGUCAAAACUGACGCUCAUGCACGAAAGCGUGGGGAGCAAACAGGAUUAGAUACCCUGGUAGUCCACGCCCUAAACGAUGUCUACUAGUUGUCGGGUCUUAAUUGACUUGGUAACGCAGCUAACGCGUGAAGUAGACCGCCUGGGGAGUACGGUCGCAAGAUUAAAACUCAAAGGAAUUGACGGGGACCCGCACAAGCGGUGGAUGAUGUGGAUUAAUUCGAUGCAACGCGAAAAACCUUACCUACCCUUGACAUGGCUGGAAUCCCUGAGAGA